rnacentral:rRNA from 1 species
GAAGGCGAGGACUUGGGCCAAUACUGACGCUUAGGCUUGAAAGUGUGGGGAGCAAAUAGGAUUAGAUACCCUAGUAGUCCACACUGUAAACGAUGGAUGUUAAGUGUCGGAGCGAAUACUUCGGUGCUGCAGUUAACACAUUAAACAUCCUGCCUGAGUAGUACAUUCGCAAGAAUGAAACUCAAACGGAAUUGACGGGGACCCGCACAAGUGGUGGAGCAUGUUGCUUAAUUCGACGGUACACGAAAAACCUUACCUAGACUUGACAUCUUGGGCGAAGCUAUAGAAAUAUAGUGGAGGUCAACCCAAUGACAGGUGGUGCAUGGUUGUCGUCAGCUCGUGUCGUGAGAUGUUGGGUUAAGUCCCGCAACGAGCGCAACCCUUAUCGUUAGUUACUUUGUCUAACGAGACUGCCAACGUAAGUUGGAGGAAGGUGGGGAUGAUGUCAAAUCAUCAUGCCCCUUAUGUCUAGGGCUGCAAACGUGCUACAAUGGCCAAUACAAACAGUU